CAGCCGCCGCGUAAUACGUAGGGUGCGAGCGUUAAUCGGAAUUACUGGGCGUAAAGCGUGCGUAGGCGGUGAGUUAAGUCUGCUGUGAAAUCCCCGGGCUCAACCUGGGAAUGGCAAUGGAUACUGGCAAGCUAGAGUAUGGCAGAGGGGGGUGGAAUUCCGCGUGUAGCAGUGAAAUGCGUAGAUAUGCGGAGGAACACCGAUGGCGAAGGCAGCCCCCUGGGCCAACACUGACGCUCAUGCACGAAAGCGGGGGGAGCAAACAGGAUUAGAUACCCCUGUAGUCCCUGUCUCUUAUACC
rnacentral:rRNA from 1 species